rnacentral:rRNA from 1 species
UACGUAGGGUGCGAGCGUUGUCCGGAAUUAUUGGGCGUAAAGAGCUUGUAGGCGGUCUGUCGCGUCUGCUGUGAAAAAUCCGGGGCUCAACCCCCGGACUUGCAGUGGGGUACGGGCAGACUAGAGUGUGGUAGGGGAGACUGGAAUUCCUGGUGUAGCGGUGAAAUGCGCAGAUAUCAGGAGGAACACCGAUGGCGAAGGCAGGUCUCUGGGCCACUACUGACGCUG